rnacentral:ribozyme from 1 species
UGCCCAGCAACUCCUAUCCCUACCUCCUCGCGGUACUGGCCGGGGUACGAGUAACCUUAGGGAAGAUCGGGUAACCAACCCCAGGUGGGAACAUUGGUCGUAUGCUGACAGGGAAGG